UGGCGGACGGGUGAGUAACGCGUGGGUAACCUGCCCUGUACAGGGGACGAACAGUUAGAAAUGACUGCUAAUACCGCAUAAGCGCACAGGACCGCAUGGUCCGGUGUGAAAAACUCCGGUGGUACAGGAUGGACCCGCGUCUGAUUAGGUAGUUGGCGGGGUAACGGCCCACCAAGCCGACGAUCAGUAGCCGACCUGAGAGGGUGACCGGCCACCAUUGGGACUGAGACACGGCCCAAACUCCUACGGAAGGCAGCAG
rnacentral:rRNA from 1 species